rnacentral:rRNA from 1 species
GAGAGAUCGUAUCCUUCAGUUCGGCUGGAUCGGAGACAGGUGCUGCAUGGCUGUCGUCAGCUCGUGUCGUGAGAUGUUGGGUUAAGUCCCGCAACGAGCGCAACCCUCGCCCUUAGUUGCCAGCAUUCAGUUGGGCACUCUAAGGGGACUGCCGGUGAUAAGCCGAGAGGAAGGUGGGGAUGACGUCAAGUCCUCAUGGCCCUUACGGGCUGGGCUACACACGUGCUACAAUGGUGGUGACAGUGGGCAGCGAGACCGCGAGGUCGAGCUAAUCUCCAAAAGCCAUCUCAGUUCGGAUUGCACUCUGCAACUCGAGUGCAUGAAGUUGGAAUCGCUAGUAAUCGCAGAUCAG